CCAUGUUUUCUGUAGCUCUGCUGCUGCUGUUGGGAGCUGGAUGUGUGAAGUGUGAACAGUUGACACAGCCAGCCUCUGUGACUGUGCAGCCAGGUCAACGUCUGACCAUCACCUGUCAGGUCUCUUAUUCACUUGGCAGCUUCACAGCUUGGAUCAGACAGCCUGCAGGGAAAGAACUGGAGUGGAUUGGAAUGAAAAAUACUGGAUAUUCAUACUACAAAGAUUCACUAAAGAACAAGUUCAGUAUCGACUUAGACUCUUCCAGCAACAGAGUGACUCUAAACGGACAGAAUGUGCAGCCUGAAGACACUGCUGUGUAUUACUGUGCCAGAGAUCCACAGUGAAACACAUUAACAGGAGAGUCAUACAAAAACUACUGGGAAGAUUCAGUUGGCUUAGUAUCACUUUUUUUCACAUUUAUCACAAAGCAGAAUGUUAAAUUCAUUUGCAAACUAAAUACAUAUA